rnacentral:lncRNA from 1 species
UACCAUUAGACAUGACCAUGUGGUAAGGGUUUGAUGAGUUGAUAAACAGUCCUACUUGUAGAAAGAAAGAUUCGGACGCCCAGCUCCUCAUAAAUGCUUGGACGCCCAGCUCCUCAUGAAGACUAGAACGACUAUUAUGCUCACAACCGAGAGAAAGAAAACUCGCCUCAGAACAGGUCAGUCUCAGGUCGGAUAGACUCGCUCUCUUAACUUCAGAGCAAGUCUCCAUAAGGAAGUUAUCGUUAACAGCUAUAAUCUAGUAGAUCCCCUUCACGCC